rnacentral:lncRNA from 1 species
UGCUUGAUUCUGGUGACGGUGUCAGCCAUACCGUUCCUAUCUAUGAAGGAUAUGCUCUACCUCAUGCCAUUCUUCGUUUGGAUCUUGCUGGUCGUGAUCUCACGGAUUGCCUGAUGAAGAUCCUGACAGAGAGGGGUUAUUCAUUCACUACCACUGCAGAACGGGAAAUCGUAAGGGACAUCAAGGAGAAGCUUGCCUUUGUUGCUGUUGACUAUGAACAGGAGCUGGAGACUGCCAAGACUAGCUCUGCUGUGGAGAAAAGCUAUGAACUUCCCGAUGGGCAGGUUAUCACGAUUGGGG